UGGCUGUGAUGAAAAAAAGGCCGGACUUACGGCUGCCACUAUUGAUUGGUAGCAGAUUGAAACAGUUGCCAUCAGUUGUUUGGUAGUAGAUUGAUGAAGUUUGAAAUAGGUAUUAUUUCUGAGCCAG